rnacentral:piRNA from 1 species
UAACAUGAUAAACUUGUUCACAUGCAGC